UACACUCCUGCGGGAGGCAGCAGUGGGGAAUUUUGGACAAUGGGCGAAAGCCUGAUCCAGCAAUGCCGCGUGUGUGAAGAAGGCCUUCGGGUUGUAAAGCACUUUUGUCCGGAAAGAAAUCCUUGGCUCUAAUACAGUCGGGGGAUGACGGUACCGGAAGAAUAAGCACCGGCUAACUACGUGCCAGCAGCCGCGGUAAUACGUAGGGUGCGAGCGUUAAUCGGAAUUACUGGGCGUAAAGCGUGCGCAGGCGGUUUGCUAAGACCGAUGUGAAAUCCCCGGGCUCAACCUGGGAACUGCAUUGGUGACUGGCAGGCUAGAGUAUGGCAGAGGGGGGUAGAAUUCCACGUGUAGCAGUGAAAUGCGUAGAGAUGUGGAGGAAUACCGAUGGCGAAGGCAGCCCCCUGGGCCAAUACUGACGCUCAUGCACGAAAGCGUGGGGAGCAAACAGGAUUAGAUACCCUGGUAGUCCCA
rnacentral:rRNA from 1 species